rnacentral:sRNA from 1 species
AGAGACGGGGACCCGCCUUGCCGGGUUAGGCGCACCUCCUGGGGCGGGACUGGCUCCAACCUGGGCCCCUUACUGCGGCUUUCUCUGUGGCCGAGGCCAGGCCGUCCCCGGGGUGGCCAGGAGAGCACCGUAAACUCUUCAGCCUGCUCCGUGGCCGCGAUCUCGGAAAAAGCACCAAUUCUGUGAUGUGCAGCAGCAUUUACUGGGCAUCUAUGACCCUGUGAUAGGCUUUGGGGUCUUUUUCUGUAAGGAGUCCAGUAAAGGAGAAGUACAUCUGCAUUAUGAACACCUAAAUAUGCCAAAAAGCAAAUGGAUUUCCACCUGACAAAUCUUCGGGAUCCAAGAAGCAGAAACAAUAUCAGCGGAUUCGGAAGGAGAAGCCUCAACAACACAACUUCACCCACCGCCUCCUGGCUGCAGCUCUGAAGAGCCACAGCGGGAACAUAUCUUGCAUGGACUUUAGCAGCAAUGGCAAAUACCUGGCUACCUGUGCAGAUGAUCGCACCAUCCGCAUCUGGAGCACCAAGGACUUCCUACAGCGAGAGCACCGCAGCAUGAGAGCCAACGUGGAGCUGGACCACGCCACCCUGGUGCGCUUCAGCCCUGACUGCAGAGCCUUCAUCGUCUGGCUGGCCAACGGGGACACCCUCCGUGUCUUCAAGAUGACCAAGAGGGAGGAUGGGGGCUACACCUUCACAGCCACCCCAGAGGACUUCCCUAAAAAGCACAAGGCGCCUGUCAUCGACAUUGGCAUUGCUAACACAGGGAAGUUUAUCAUGACUGCCUCCAGUGACACCACUGUCCUCAUCUGGAGCCUGAAGGGUCAAGUGCUGUCUACCAUCAACACCAACCAGAUGAACAACACACACGCUGCUGUAUCUCCCUGUGGCAGAUUUGUAGCCUCGUGUGGCUUCACCCCAGAUGUGAAGGUUUGGGAAGUCUGCUUUGGAAAGAAGGGGGAGUUCCAGGAGGUGGUGCGAGCCUUCGAACUAAAGGGCCACUCCGCGGCUGUGCACUCGUUUGCUUUCUCCAACGACUCACGGAGGAUGGCUUCUGUCUCCAAGGAUGGUACAUGGAAACUGUGGGACACAGAUGUGGAAUACAAGAAGAAGCAGGACCCCUACUUGCUGAAGACAGGCCGCUUUGAAGAGGCAGCGGGUGCCGCGCCGUGCCGCCUGGCCCUCUCCCCCAACGCCCAGGUCUUGGCCUUGGCCAGUGGCAGUAGUAUUCAUCUCUACAACACCCGGCGGGGCGAGAAGGAGGAGUGCUUUGAGCGGGUCCAUGGCGAGUGUAUCGCCAACUUGUCCUUUGACAUCACUGGCCGCUUUCUGGCCUCCUGUGGGGACCGGGCGGUGCGGCUCUUUCACAACACUCCUGGCCACCGAGCCAUGGUGGAGGAGAUGCAGGGCCACCUGAAGCGGGCCUGCAACGAGAGCACCCGCCAGAGGCUGCAGCAGCAGCUGACCCAGGCCCAAGAGACCCUGAAGAGCCUGGGUGCCCUGAAGAAGUGACUCUGGGAGGGCCCGGCGCAGAGGAUUGAGGAGGAGGGAUCUGGCCUCCUCAUGGCGCUGCUGCCAUCUUUCCUCCCAGGUGGAAGCCUUUCAGAAGGAGUCUCCUGGUUUUCUUACUGGUGGCCCUGCUUCUUCCCAUUGAAACUACUCUUGUCUACUUAGGUCUCUCUCUUCUUGCUGGCUGCGACUCCUCCCUGACUAGUGGCCAAGGUGCUUUUCUUCCUCCCAGGCCCAGUGGGUGGAAUCUGUCCCCACCUGGCACUGAGGAGAAUGGUAGAGAGGAGAGAGAGAGAGAAUGUGAUUUUUGGCCUUGUGGCAGCACAUCCUCACACCCAAAGAAGUUUGUAAAUGUUCCAGAACAACCUAGAGAACACCUGAGUACUAAGCAGCAGUUUUGCAAGGAUGGGAGACUGGGAUAGCUUCCCAUCACAGAACUGUGUUCCAUCAAAAAGACACUAAGGGAUUUCCUUCUGGGCCUCAGUUCUAUUUGUAAGAUGGAGAAUAAUCCUCUCUGUGAACUCCUUGCAAAGAUGAUAUGAGGCUGAGAGAAUAUCAAGUCCGCAGGUCUGGAAGAAAAGUAGAAAAGAGUAGUACUAUUGUCCAAUGUCAUGAAAGUGGUAAAAGUGGGAACCAGUGUGCUUUGAAACCAAAUUAGAAACACAUUCCUUGGGAAGGCAAAGUUUUCUGGGACUUGAUCAUAUAUUUUAUAUGGUUGGGACUUCUCUCUUCGGGAGAUGAUAUCUUGUUUAAGGAGACCUCUUUUCAGUUCAUCAAGUUCAUCAGAUAUUUGAGUGCCUACUCUGUGCCCAAAUAAAUAUGAGCUGGGGAUUAAAUACGAAUAA